rnacentral:rRNA from 1 species
GAGUUUGAUCCUGGCUCAGGAUGAACGCUAGCGACAGGCUUAACACAUGCAAGUCGAGGGGCAGCACGGGUAGCAAUACCGGGUGGCGACCGGCGCACGGGUGAGUAACGCGUAUGCAACUUACCUAUCAGAGGGGGAUAACCCGGCGAAAGUCGGACUAAUACCGCAUGAAGCAGGGGCCCCGCAUGGGGAUAUUUGCUAAAGAUUCAUCGCUGAUAGAUAGGCAUGCGUUCCAUUAGGCAGUUGGCGGGGUAACGGCCCACCAAACCGACGAUGGAUAGGGGUUCUGAGAGGAAGGUCCCCCACAUUGGUACUGAGACACGGACCAAACUCCUACGGGAGGCAGCAGUGAGGAAUAUUGGUCAAUGGGCGUAAGCCUGAACCAGCCAAGUCGCGUGAGGGAUGAAGGUUCUAUGGAUCGUAAACCUCUUUUAUAAGGGAAUAAAGUGCGGGACGUGUCCCGUUUUGUAUGUACCUUAUGAAUAAGGAUCGGCUAACUCCGUGCCAGCAGCCGCGGUAAUACGGAGGAUCCGAGCGUUAUCCGGAUUUAUUGGGUUUAAAGGGUGCGUAGGCGGCCUUUUAAGUCAGCGGUGAAAGUCUGUGGCUCAACCAUAGAAUUGCCGUUGAAACUGGGAGGCUUGAGUAUGUUUGAGGCAGGCGGAAUGCGUGGUGUAGCGGUGAAAUGCUUAGAUAUCACGCAGAACCCCGAUUGCGAAGGCAGCCUGCCAAGCCAUGACUGACGCUGAUGCACGAAAGCGUGGGGAUCAAACAGGAUUAGAUACCCUGGUAGUCCACGCAGUAAACGAUGAUCACUAGCUGUUUGCGAUACACUGUAAGCGGCACAGCGAAAGCGUUAAGUGAUCCACCUGGGGAGUACGCCGGCAACGGUGAAACUCAAAGGAAUUGACGGGGGCCCGCACAAGCGGAGGAACAUGUGGUUUAAUUCGAUGAUACGCGAGGAACCUUACCCGGGUUUGAACGCAUUUCGACCGCUCUGGAAACAGAGCCUCUAGCAAUAGCGAUUUGCGAGGUGCUGCAUGGUUGUCGUCAGCUCGUGCCGUGAGGUGUCGGCUUAAGUGCCAUAACGAGCGCAACCCUUGCCACUAGUUACUAACAGGUAAAGCUGAGGACUCUGGUGGGACUGCCAGCGUAAGCUGCGAGGAAGGCGGGGAUGACGUCAAAUCAGCACGGCCCUUACAUCCGGGGCGACACACGUGUUACAAUGGCGUGGACAAAGGGAAGCCACCUGGCGACAGGGAGCGAAUCCCCAAACCACGUCUCAGUUCGGAUCGGAGUCUGCAACCCGACUCCGUGAAGCUGGAUUCGCUAGUAAUCGCGCAUCAGCCAUGGCGCGGUGAAUACGUUCCCGGGCCUUGUACACACCGCCCGUCAAGCCAUGGGAGCCGGGGGUACCUGAAGUCCGUAACCGCGAGGAUCGGCCUAGGGUAAAACUGGUGACUGGGGCUAAGUCGUAACAAGGUAGCCGUACCGGAAGGUGCGGCUGGAACACC